AUUAGACUUGGCGAUGGUGCACUGCACUGUAUAUAUUUCAAUCCAACUAUCUACCACACCAUGAACGAUCAUCAUCACAAAACGACGACAACGACGACGAGGACUGAUGGGAAUAAGAAACCAGAACCAGCUAACCAAGGAUGCGCUCCGUUUACUCCCAGGCCUUCAUGCCGUAUCAUGAGGCGAAUGAAUGAGACAACGCUGCCAAAUGGCACAGUGUAUUCGUACAUAAAAAGCCAUCAUCGUUCCAUUAUUGCAUGGUCACUUUCUAAAAUUCGGAGUGGUGGUGGUCAUCAUCACGGUAUGAUAUUUCUAUUACCAACUAACUCAUGCUCUCUCUCUCUCUCUCUUAUGCAGUUGUGUAGAUACUUGGUGGAUGUGGUGAUGCCGUCGAAAAAAAUAAGUACUACUUGACCCGGAUUGCAGAAAAUAUUCCAAUUUAGGCCAGGCCAACGAAACGAGUGGAGUGGAUCAAGAAAGACGGGAUGGAGAUGAGAAUCAAACACGAUGAGAUGGACGCAUCGACGACUAAACAAGCAAUACAGCAAAAAUUUAUCCAUUGCCAGGCAGGGAUGGAUCGCAAAAAUCGCCUCGUCGUGAAAUAAAAUGUUGCUUGCAUACACACAUCUCUAGGAGCAAUAUAUAUAUCUACCAAAGUGAUAACGGUCCCACCCACCACUGCGGGCCUACAAAGAUCUUUGUGCAUGUUUUAGCAGUAGUGGUGUUGCCUCAUUCUCUUUCUUCUUCAAGAGAAAAAAAUGUGUGUAACCAUCCAUAUCCAUCCGCCCUCCUCCUGCCACUUGUGUAUAGGGAAGUCACAAAUUCGCAGAAUUGGAUGACCAGACGACAGACCAGGCCAGAGAGCUUCAACCUACAUCACAUGGGAGGGAGCAAAUCGAAUGCGGAUGAUGAUGAUGACAUUCUGAAUGACAUAUCCAUCCCAGCUCCGAACGUUAACUGAGAUAAGCAGGAGCAAAAGAAGAAGAAGAAGAUGAGCAAGAAGGCGACGACGAAUGAAAAAAUACACGUGGCAAUUCAUCCAUCCCUCGAAUAUAAUUCCAUCCAAAAAUAUUUCGGACUCCAAUCCACCAGCCAACCAGACUCAAACAUGCAUGAUUGAUAUGUCGGAACCAAUAAUAAUAAUAAUACUGCAAGGCUCGACUUCUCUAUCCACCAUCCAUUCAAGAAGAUUGACCUUCUUGCUCCGUCUCUUCUUACACACUUCUUGAAAUGAAAACAAAGCAUAUCAAGCAAAAAAUCUAGUGUUUAACGUCCGCACAUUUUUUUAACGGAGGACACCGAUGCGAUGGAAGAAGGUCACAUUUUAUUACGUGGUGUAAAAGAAGAAGGUGAAUUUUAGAGACCUACAUCCAUCCAUCCAUCCAUCCACCAGAAACGUACAUAAGAGUCGACAAGAAGACUGAAGGAAAUGAAGGAACGAACGAACGGGUUUCUUUAUGCGUAAAGUGAAAUUUGUGAAAUUGAGCAAAAAAAAAGAACCUGUGUGUAAUUGUUGGCAUCACCACCACCACCACCAUUACCAUCAUCGUCAAAACUACUGCGAAACACACCGUUGCUUUACUUUACUUGAAUUGUUGAGGAGGAGUGUUAUUGAGUGAGGUGAGAUUUUCAGACCGGAAACUUUAUCUGGUUUAAUCUAAGGCUAAAUUAUAAGAAAAACCAUUUCCCUACUAACUAUAAAAUCCUUCACGAUACGAACCAACCACCUACGCGGUGUACUGCAGUCGUAUAUAUUGUAUUAUUAUACUGUACAAAGAGUAGAGUAGAUUUCUCUUUGUUAAAAAAUAAUACAGGCUAAAUCCCUGAAUUUGCCCUAAAUUACGAUCCAUUUUAUUGGAUUAGAUUUUUGCCCCUCUGGUCAAUAAACCCACAUUUGCAGAAAUAUCAAUCACCCGGAAAUUUACAGAGUUGAGCAAGCAACCUAAGCCAAACUAUAAUAAAACAUUUAAUAAUAAAUUUAGUGACAACCAAUGGCUAGACUAAACUCCGUAGUCAUACAUAAUCCAUCCAUGUGCAAUAAUAAUAACGCAGUUUUUCCUUGUUUGCACACUAAUUUGGUUGUUAGCCAGCAUUAACUCGCACACAUUAAUUACUUUGUAACUCGCCAUUAAAUAAUUGAAUAACUGUUAAAAUUAUUUGCAACUUUUUUUUGUUUUUGCAACCAUGGGUCAAGCAAAUAUUGCUACGACAUAUUUAUUAGUCACUCGUCCAGCCCAGUCACACAAUCCAGGCGUUGUUAUUGUCAGGAGAAUUGAAAUACAAGAACAGAACAGAACAGAGAGCGAUGUUAUUUUAUUUAUUUUAUUAUGACGACGAAAAGUCCACCCUGGAAUUUCAUCUUGAGUUUCGUCGUUCCUCACUUUAUUACGUUUUAAAUUACGAGGAGUUAUUUGUCAAUCUGAGAAGACGAAACAUCCCAAGGAUGAAAAUCAUUGCCACGAUUACUCCUUGUGUUUGAUCGCAUGGUAAAAAAAAGUGAAAGGAUGACGAGAUUCUUCUCGGAGUGGACUUGCAAAAUCAUUCCUUUAAUAAAACACAGUAUGCAUUGGACACAGUAUGGAUUCAUGAAUGACGAUGAUGAUGAUUUGCCAACCAACCAACUAAAAGUUCUCUACAGGGACACUCUCAACAAAGUACAGGCAUCCACAACGGCACACAAUGGAUAUUCAUAAUCGCAACAUGAACAUCACCAUCAUUUCACUCAUCCAUUUUCAUUUCUAAUUCGCAACCGAGCCAACUAACUUAUUGAAAUUGAAACCAAUGUGAAAAUUCGCGUAAUUAUAAAUAUCUAAUAGAAAUUCGCAUAAUUCACUAUUACCGUGUACGAGUAGAAUCUUAUCAUGGGCAUCAUCAUCAUCAUCAUGAGAGAGUAACGAACGAGUAGACUUAUUCGCUUUCCCGGUAAGGUAAUUAAGGUAAAUGACACAGCCAGAAAGAUAAGCCCAUCACUACUGCCAUGAUAGGUGAUGAGACCAUAAACAAACCAGAGUCAAUAGCAGGGUGAUAGAUAGAGCUUAUAAAAACUUUAAAUUAUU